CAGUAGCCGCGGUAAUACGAAGGGGGCUAGCGUUGCUCGGAAUGACUGGGCGUAAAGGGCGCGUAGGCGGCUGACACAGUCAGAUGUGAAAUUCCUGGGCUCAACCUGGGGACUGCAUUUGAGACGUGUUGGCUUGAGUGGAGAAGAGGGUCGUGGAAUUUCCAGUGUAGAGGUGAAAUUCGUAGAUAUUGGAAAGAACACCGGUGGCGAAGGCGGCGACCUGGUCUUUAACUGACGCUGAGGCGCGAAAGCGUGGGGAGCAAACAGGAUUAGAUACCCCAGUAGUCCCUGUCUCUUAUAA
rnacentral:rRNA from 1 species